rnacentral:rRNA from 1 species
AUACGGAGGGUGCAAGCGUUAAUCGGAAUUACUGGGCGUAAAGAGUACGUAGGUGGUUUAUUAAGUCAGAUGUGAAAGCCCCGGGCUCAACCUGGGAACUGCAUUUGAAACUGGCAAACUAGAGUAUGGUAGAGGGGGGUAGAAUUUCUAGUGUGGCGGUGAAAUGCGUAGAUAUUAGAAGGAAUACCAGUGGCGAAGGUGGCCCCCUGGACCAAUACUGACACUGAGGUACGAAAGCGUGGGUAGCGAACAGGAUUAGAAACCCUAGUAGUCC